rnacentral:rRNA from 1 species
GAAAGAAUAAUGACGGUACCUGAUGAAUAAGCACCGGCUAACUCCGUGCCAGCAGCCGCGGUAAUACGGGGGGUGCAAGCGUUACUCGGAAUCACUGGGCGUAAAGGACGCGUAGGCGGAUUAUCAAGUCUUUUGUGAAAUCUAGUGGCUUAACCACUAAACUGCUUAGGAAACUGAUAGUCUAGAGUAGGGGAGAGGUAGAUGGAAUUCUUGGUGUAGGGGUAAAAUCCGUAGAGAUCAAGAAGAAUACCCAUUGCGAAAGCGAUCUGCUGGAACCUAACUGACGCUGAGGCGUGAAAGCGUGGGUAGCAAACAGGAUUAGAUACCCUGGUAGUCCACGCCCUAAACGAUGUAUACUAGUUGUUGCUUUGCUAGUCAAGGCAGUAAUGCAGCUAACGCAUUAAGUAUACCGCCUGGGGAGUACGGUCGCAAGAUUAAAACUCAAAGGAAUAGACGGGGACCCGCACAAGCGGUGGAGCAUGUGGUUUAAUUCGAAGAUACGCGAAGAACCUUACCUGGACUUGACAUCCUAAAAACAUCUAAGAGAUUAGAAAGUGCUAGUUUACUAGAAUUUAGUGACAGGUGCUGCACGGCUGUCGUCAGCUCGUGUCGUGAGAUGUUGGGUUAAGUCCCGCAACGAGCGCAACCCACGUGUUUAGUUGCUAACAGCUCGGCUGAGCACUCUAAACAGACUGCCUUCGUAAGGAGGAGGAAGGUGUGGACGACGUCAAGU